rnacentral:rRNA from 1 species
GAUGAACGCUGGCGGCGUGCCUAAUACAUGCCAGUCGAGCGAACGGACGAGAAGCUUGCUUCUCUGAUGUUAGCGGCGGACGGGUGAGUAACACGUGGAUAACCUACCUAUAAGACUGGGAUAACUUCGGGAAACCGGAGCUAAUACCGGAUAAUAUUUUGAACCGCAUGGUUCAAAAGUGAAAGACGGUCUUGCUGUCACUUAUAGAUGGAUCCGCGCUGCAUUAGCUAGUUGGUAAGGUAACGGCUUACCAAGGCAACGAUGCAUAGCCGGCCUGAGAGGGUGAUCGGCCACACUGGAACUGAGACACGGUCCAGACUCCUACGGGAGGCAGCAGUAGGGAAUCUUCCGCAAUGGGCGAAAGCCUGACGGAGCAACGCCGCGUGAGUGAUGAAGGUCUUCGGAUCGUAAAACUCUGUUAUUAGGGAAGAACAUAUGUGUAAGUAACUGUGCACAUCUUGACGGUACCUAAUCAGAAAGCCACGGCUAACUACGUG